CUAACUAUUACUAGUAUUACUUACUUCUCCCGGUUUCUCAAGUAAUAAGUUUGUUGCUAGCAUGUUCUCAACGUUGGUCCCUGCUAGUUGUAGAUUCUGACUCUGUAAAUGGGAGAGAUGAAAGUAGAGUUCUUUCUCUUUGCGGGUCCUGUAGUCGACGGCUAUUAUUAUCUUCGAGGAGCAAAAUGAAUGUACAUGACUGUAUCCAGCUCUACUCCGUGGCUCUGAGAGGGAAAAUGUUGCAGAGAUGGGUUUCUAGGCUGUUGCAAUGGAUGGCUUCAUAUUCAAAUUUACAAUAUCAGAGCAUGGGUUGCCCCACUUGCUGGAGAUGUGCUUCGCAGAACGUAUGCUCCCAGGUGUUCUAUCGUUGAAGGAGACAAUGCAAUGAGGGCAUGUCCAUAUCUAAUCACUGGUCACGUCCCAAGUGCUCCAAGCAUGCCACCUGGCAGCCUGCAUACCAAGAGGGCUGAUAGUUUCCCAGCAUAGGGUGGCGAAACAUCAGGCUGUGACAGCUCUUCAUAUCCGAUAUCGCACUGAGAUAGUGAACCAAGUGGCUCCAUCACUCAACUCUACAGUCAGACCAGAGUGUACUACCACGCACUACUAGUACCAGUUGGAGAGAGACUCGAAACCAGGAAACUACUGCCAGUAAGUUUAGUUGUACCAUGGGUUGAAACUUUCAUCAUGGGUCAUGGGACGGGAUGGUUUAGGAGUGCAAUCUAGCUUAAACUAACGCAUUACUUACCUGGUGAUGUUUCAAGUCUCAAGCAUAGCAAUGGA